UCAAUGAGAAUUAAGUUAAAUUUGGAAUUGCCAGAUGAACAAUUUACCUUGAUGUGAAAAUUUCUUGUUGACUGAGG